UGGGACAAGCGAUGAGAUUGCUGAGAUUUCUCCCACUGUGAGCUCUCAGCAGCACAAUGUUAGCAAUAAUUGAUCACAAAGGAAAGCUUACUUUUCUGUAGACAAUCAUGUUAGGCGAGUCGUCAUCCGGGUCCACGAUGCUCAAGGACCUCAUGGACAGCAGAGGCCGGGUAGGCGUCGUCUGGACAUCCUCUUUCAGGUCUUCAACCUCAUCAUCAGCCUCUGUCGACCCAGAGGAGCUCAGCUGCUCCUCACUCUGCUGCUGCUCCUCUUCUUCCUGCUGCUGCUGUUCAUGCUGCUGUUGUGGUGCCUCAGCCAUCUCCUCGCCUCCUUUCAGUCCCCCUCUCCUCCUGUGUUAAGUUAUCCUCUCUUCUUUACCAGCGUUUCAACUCUCGUACUUCCACGCUCUUACAUCAGGGCUCGGUUGCUGACAAAGGAGGAGCAAAAGGGAUGAAUCAGACUCAGGGGCUGGAGCCUAUCCCAGCUGACGUUGGGUAAGAGGCGGGCUACACCCCGAACUGGACGCCAAUCAAUCACAGGACACAUGGAGACAAACAUUCACGCUGAGUGGGAACUGAACCCACGCUCGCUGCAUGGAAGUCAGCCAGAGGGCGCCUCAGUUCAUGUCAAUGGUGUUGAAGACCCACUCUGUGAACUUCUUGAGCUUUGCGGCAGAGGAUCGAGACUCUUCCUGAAGCCUCUGGUUAUCCUCCCAAAGCCUCUUGAUCUGAGCCUGAAGUCGCACCUUCUCAUCUCGCUCCUGUGAGUUUCAAACAGUUUCAAAAGUUUCAACUGGUGAGUUAUGUUCAAAUCUUGGUAGAUGACUAACAAUUGUGCAGCAGAGGAUCUGACUACUUGGGCUUUCAAAUCAGCAGAGCGCUGCUCUCAAAUAGAGGAUCUUUGGCUUUGCUCUUGGUUUAAUUUCUGAUUUUUAUGACUAUGUUUGCCAUUUAGAAGUAGGAAAGGCCCCCAAGCCCAAGCACAUGUGGACCCUAGGACAAUUUUGUUGAAUAGUCCUGAUCUAUUGUGUGUAAUUCAGGAAGAAAUGGUAGAUCUGAAUGUCAAAAGCAUUAAAAUAAAGGAGACUGGGA